UCUUCCUACGGGGGGCAGCAGUGAGGAAUAUUGGUCAAUGGCCGAGAGGCUGAACCAGCCAAGUCGCGUGAGGGAAGACGGCCCUACGGGUUGUAAACCUCUUUUGUCGGGGAGCAAAGCGAGUCACGUGUGACUCAUUGAGAGUACCCGAAGAAAAAGCAUCGGCUAACUCCGUGCCAGCAGCCGCGGUAAUACGGAGGAUGCGAGCGUUAUCCGGAUUUAUUGGGUUUAAAGGGUGCGUAGGCGGGCUGUUAAGUCAUCGGUAAAAGCCCGGGGCUCAACCCCGGCGAGCCGUUGAAACUGGC
rnacentral:rRNA from 1 species